rnacentral:rRNA from 1 species
AUGUUUGUUAGGCAUAAAGAGAAAGAUAAUUUUCAUGUGAGGCUGCAAGUUGAUGUGCUUGAGCAGGCAUUUGGACCUAGGAUGGCGGGUGCAACAUCUCGGGGAGAAUCAAGUCGUCGUAAUGGCAUCUCUAGCCAGAACAGUUCAGUUGGUGCACGGCGACGUGGUGGCUCGACAAGUGUGGGCAACAGCAGUAGGGUCCCCCUUGAAGUGGAUCCUGAUGGCUACAAUUCUGGGGUUGAUGAAGAGAAGUUAUAUUCUGAUGUUAUUCAGAAUUUACGACGGGCACCUCGGGCUGAAAACCAAGAUGAGGCUCACAAUGCAGUCCGUGUGGAUGAUGACGCGAUGGGUGAGGACGAAGACCUUGCAGCUGUUAAAUGGGACCCUUUGAACCCUCAAAUGGAAGAAGGUACAGUUUUUGCAUCCAUGAAUGAGUGUAGAAAUGCACUUGUGACAUACUGCAUCAAGGUAGAACGUACUUUCAAAGUUGACAAGAGCGAUCAAGUACAUUACAGAGUGCACUGUCCGACUGAGGGUUGUCCAUGGAGGCUGCUUGCAGCUAAAAUGCGAAAUAGCACUAAUGUUCAGGUCAAAGUGAAUCCUUUUAAGCACACAUGCCAGGAAUCAACCCUUAGGAAGGAUACAAUCAGUAGAGCCAAGUCAAGAUGGGUGGCAGAAGAAGUAAAAAAGUGGGUGAAAGAAAACCAGCAAGUGGGUCCAAAGGAAUUGCAGAAGAACAUCAAAGAUAAGUUCAAGAUAGAUUUACCAUACAUGAGGUUGUUCAAUGGUAAACAACAUGCUAUGGAUUCUAUUUAUGGUAACUGGCAGGAAAGUUUUCAAUUGUUG